UACAGAGGGUGCAAGCGUUGUUCGGAAUUAUUGGGCGUAAAGCGCGUGUAGGCGGCUUUGCAAGUCGGGGUGUGAAAAGCCCCUCGGCUCAACCGAGGAAGUGCGCCCGAAACUGCAGAGCUUGAGUACCGGAGAGGAUGGCGGAAUUCCCCCAAGUAGAGGUGAAAUUCGUAGAUAUGGGGGAGGAACACCGGUGGCGAAGGCGGCCAUCUGGACGGAUACUGACGCUGAGACGCGAAAAGCGUGGGGGAGCAAACAGG
rnacentral:rRNA from 1 species